rnacentral:rRNA from 1 species
AUUGAACGCUGGCGGCAGGCCUAACACAUGCCAGUCGAACGGUAACAGGAAGAUGCUUGCUUCUUUGCUGACGAGUGGCGGACGGGUGAGUAAUGUCUGGCAAACUGCCUGAUGGAGGGGGAUAACUACUGGAAACGGUAGCUAAUACCGCAUAACGUCGCAAGACCAAAGAGGGGGACCUUCGGGCCUCUUGCCAUCGGAUGUGCCCAGAUGGGAUUAGCUAGUGGGUGGGGUAACGGCUCACCUAGGCGACGAUCCCUAGCUGGUCUGAGAGGAUGACCGGCCACACGGGAAGUGAGCCAGGGUCCAGACGCCUGCGGGAGGCAGCAGUGUGGAAUGUUGCGCAACGGGCGCGAGCCUGAUGCAGCCAUGCCGCGUGUAUGAAGAAGGCCUUCGGGUUGUAAAGUACUUUCAGCGGGGAGGAAGGGAGUAAAGUUAAUACCUUUGCUCAUUGACGUUACCCGCAGAAGAAGCACCGGCUAACUCCGUG